UCAUUGAGCAGAAGCUUCAAUUUGCUGA
rnacentral:piRNA from 1 species